rnacentral:misc_RNA from 1 species
GCCGUUGAGAGCCUUACAGAACACAAAAUUGUCAAAGUUCAAAGAAAUGGUAAGAUUAUUUCAUUUUAAAAGCCAAAAAAUGGUUGGGGAGGCAGCCAGUGCCGUUGGGUGCAUCAUACAAACUCAAACUCAUUAUUGCCUUCACUUCCACAUAACAUAGAAUUUCAAACCAGACCCAGAAAUAACUAGUUGACAACGUCCAGGAUCAGCUUGCGUGACUUGAGAACAGACCACUUCAUACGCCGGUAGUAUGCAGCUUGCAUCAAAGCAAGAGACAACACGAAAAUCCAUUUGAAACCCAUCAGUUUCCUCUCUUCCAUCUCAGGCUCAGCAGCCCAUGACAAAAAUGAUACAACAUCCUUUCCCAUCUGAGCUUCAGUUGCAGGCGUGCCAUCUUCGUACUCAACAGCACCAUCGAUAAGCAUUUGAGGCAUAGCUAUCGCACCACCGGGGAAGUAUGGAUUGUAGUGCAGCCCAUCCCUGAUCGAAAUACCCGCAGGAGGAUCACGGUAGCCAGUGAGAAGGGCAAAAACGUAAUUCUGGCCGUUGUGUCGUGCCUUGGUAAUCAAGCUCAAAUCCGGAGGAUAUGCGCCACCAUUUGCAAAUCUUGCUGCUUGUUCAUUUGCAUAUGGUUGUGGGAACCGAUCACUCAACUUUCCAGGUCGAGUAAACAUCUCACCUUCAUCAUUA